UACGAAGGGGGCUAGCGUUGCUCGGAAUCACUGGGCGUAAAGCGCACGUAGGCGGAUCUUUAAGUCAGGUGUGAAAUUUCGGAGCUUAACUCCGAAAACUGCAUUUGACUACUGGCGUGCUUGAGGACUGGGAAGAGGAGACUGGAAUUCAUGGUGUAGCAGUGAAAUGCGUAGAGAUCAUGAGGAAGACCAGUGGCGAAGGCGGGUCUCUGGACAGUUCCUG
rnacentral:rRNA from 1 species